CGAACGGGUGAGUAACGCGUGGGUAAUCUACCUAGAAGUGGGGGAUAGCUCCGGGAAACCGGGGGUAAUACCGCAUGAGUCUUGGACGACGCGAGUCGACCAAGGGAAAGGCGGGGAUCCUUCGGGACCUGUCGCUUCUGGAUGAGCCCGCGUCCGAUUAGCUUGUUGGCGGGGUAAUGGCCCACCAAGGCAUCGAUCGGUAGCCGGCCUGAGAGGGUGUUCGGCCACAUUGGGACUGAGACACGGCCCAG
rnacentral:rRNA from 1 species